GCUGGGCAUGGUGGUGGGUGCCUGUAGUCCAAGCUACUUGGGAGGCUGAGGCAGGAGAAUCGCUUGAACCCGGGCGGGGUGGAGAUUGCAGUGAGCCAAGGUUACGCCACUGCACUCCAGCCUGGGUGACAGAGUGAGACUCUGUCUCAA
ensembl:misc_RNA Metazoa_SRP Metazoan signal recognition particle RNA